rnacentral:rRNA from 1 species
CCUACGGGCGGCAGCAGUAGGGAAUUUUCGGCAAUGGGGGGAACCCUGACCGAGCAACGCCGCGUGAACGAAGAAGUUAUUCGUAAUGUAAAGUUCUUUUAACAGGGAAGAAAGAGAAAUUUGACGGUACCUGAAGAAUAAGCUCCGGCUAACUACGUGCCAGCAGCCGCGGUAAUACGAGGGGAGCGAGCGUUAUCCGGAAUUAUUGGGCGAAAAGGGUGCGUAGAGGGCAGAGUAAGUCUUUUGUAAAAGUGCUGGGCUAAACCCAGUAGGGCAAAAGAUACUGGAAAGCUAGAGUAUGAUAGAGGCAAGUGGAACUACAUGUGUAGCGGUAAAAUGCGUAAAUAUAUGUAAGAACACCAGUGGCGAAGGCGGCUUGCUGGGUCGAUACUGACAUUGAGGCACGAAAGCGUGGGGAGCAAACAGGAUUAGAUACCCUAGUAGUC